GGUCAACCGGUGGCCUUGUGAAUUCAGCAUGUCUUGGAUCCACCCCAUGAAGGAUAAAAUGAAGACUCAUACUUCUGGAGUCUUCAUUGCAUGAAAACAGUGGGCCAUGAAACGUUGGUGUUCCAGACCUGAAUGAGUUUGCAGUCGAUUGUGAAGGACAACACCCAUCCUGAAACACCUCCAGCACACACUUUUGAGGAGGAUUUUGACCAGGAUGUGAUAGCAAAAGAUCAAAUUCACCCUCCAGAAUAUCUCAUCGUAUUCCAAUGACACUGGAUUGGUACUUGGUACUUCACUACGUUUUUCUAUAUGGAGAAAAAUCCUGGAAUGUUUCUUUUCAACAGAAGAAAGAAAGACAUAAACAUCUUGGAUGACAUGGGGAAGAAAUAAAGUCAUACAGGAUUGGAACGACAUGAGGAGCAAAACAGAAACGGCAGAGCAAGCCUAGACAUCUGGCAGUUUCUCAGUCGUCUCCACCUCCAUCACACUAUCCGCCUUGUGUUUGACGAUGUGUUAACACAUGAUCUCCGGUGCUAUGGCAUCAUCUGACCUUUCCUUUUUGUACAUGCCCAGGAUUGUCCUCAUUUAAAAGGUCCCUCUGUGUUGACUUCAGGUGUUCAGUGCAGCGUCAAAGAAUUAUUGAGACUCCUGAUUCGUCAAUAUGUUUACAGUCAAUGAGGGGCUGUAUUAGUUAACGGCCGGCCAUCGCUCUACAUAAUUACCUCUGGAUGACGAGUUAAAUAAAACGACCAAAUUAGCAUUAGAUAUUUCCACCUGAUUUUUUUAAGCAAGAACAACGUAAGAGGAAGUAUGGCUGUCAGGGUUUUGACUGCCCAGACCUCUUUUAGCCUGUAAUAUUCAGUAGAAUGAGUAAUACACCCAACGUGAACCAUUUAUUUAACUGCAAAAAUGUCAAACACCCUCACCCAAGCACUGUAUAUUUAUGAUUCUGGCCUUCAGGCUGAGUUACAGGCUAUCUUGGGCUACCACCAGCUCAGGUUUUUGUGUUACCUAAGUUGUUGUUUUUGAAAUACUGCCACAGCAUCAGAAUUGCCUUUGUGACUAAUGACUGACUGGAAAGAAAAAGAAGUUGCAAACACGUUAGCCGAAAUUCCAAGGCUCCUUUUUUGUCUUUGUUCUAUAAUGGUUUCUCUCAGCCUUCUUACAGGCGAGCAUAAAAUCUAGGCUCUUUUUGAUACUGUUGUGGUGUUUUCUCAGAGGACCUGUGUGGCAUUUAGCUUCUGUUUCUUUUGCAGUGAAUUUUAAAUAAGCAAAUCACAGUGCGACAAAUCCACACAGAUAUCCAGUCUUUUGUCUCAACCAGUCAUUUUAAUAGGAUGACUCUUCUUCAGUGAAUUUUCCCCCCGUUAACAGGAUUCAACAAAUCUUGAGAGCACUAUGGAGAGAGUUAAACUCUCAAGGGAUGGUGUGAAGCUGUGAAUUUGGAGGAGUUUCAACUGGAGCAGAUGUGCAAGGACUAAUGUGCGUUAUUGAUGCUUGGAUUUUCCCUCUCCGCUGCUCUACUGUUUUGGUAGGUUGUUUCCUAAAUCCUCACUCGGUUGUUUUCUCACUUACUGCCUUUCCGUUUUCUUUUCUACUCUGUCGCCCCUUUGUAGUUCCCGUUUUUUCCUCCCACACUCCCUCAAAGUGUCACCUGUGCCUCUCACCUCCCAUGUUAUCAUUAAUAGUGGCAUAUCUAUAUUGGUUUGCCCUGAUAAAUUUUCCCUCUGAGGAGUUGAAUUAAAAUCUCGAGCUUUCAGUUUAAUUUUAUCUUGUAGCUCUGGGCUCUAGGCUAAGCUGUUGCUUGCACACAGUAUGAUGUCUCCAUCACAACGUAAACAAAACAUAGAUGUGAAAUGGGUGCAUAAGCCCCACGGAGAUAUGGUAAAUACCAGAGAAAAACAUCUUGGUAAUCCUUGCCCUAAGUGCCGCUUUCUGGCAUUGUCUCACAUCUUUGGGAGAGGCAUGGCUGCUUGUGUGUGUGUGGUGUGAACUUUUGAUAUAUGUUUUUUCCUAAAAAACUAUAUAAUAGAUAUGAAUACAGUUUUUAAUCUCUCAAGAUGUUUGAUGUGCAUAUAAAUAGUCCAACACAUUUUGUAAUCUGACAUUGCUAUCAAUUGAAAUAAUUUACUUAGUGUCCUUUAGUCUCAGCUUCAGACAUCACGUCCACAGACUGUUGGCUUAACGUCUGAAGCUUAUGCACACAAAAUUGGAAACACUUCAGGAGUUUCAAUGCCGUCACCUGAUUGGUGGAAUUCUACAGGAUUUCCGGGAGACGCGUGUGUGUCACUUUCUUUAAAGGGGUGGUGGAUUAUGAUUUCACUUUUUUUAGUGUGUAAACUUUAGUUUGUAAUGUGAAGGUAUUUCCUUUUAAAGAAUUUGCUGUUUAACGACUA